UCAGGUUCUGUCGUGGAGUGCGUGUCUGUGGCGCUAAAUUUGCAUUUUGCGGAUUUCGGUGGAAAAUCGAACUAAAAAUGCUGUCUUUUAAGAGGUUUGGAGUGGUUGUUCUGUUAGUGCUCUUGGUGCUUUCGUACGAGGCAUGUGCGCAGACGACGGCGGCAGAUGCUGGAGGCGCAGGAGGUUCAACCGCAGCUGGUGAUGCGGGUGGAGCAGGGGCUGGAGGUGAUGCUGGGGGUGAUGCGGGUGGUGCUGCAGCAACAACACCGGAGGCGGCGGCUGGCGGUGAUGCUACCCAGGCUCCAUCGGCCGCGGAGGGAGAGGCGUCUGGCACCACUGAAGGCAGCGCUGCUGGCGAGCUGCAAGCUAUGGUCAAGUUCGUGGCGAUGAUGGCCGCUUUGUCCGUCGGACUAAUGGUGAAGGACUAGCAGACUUAGAAUGCUUCGAGAGAGCACCACGACGCUGCAGAUUGCAGAAUGCGGGAAUCCAGAAAUCUGAAAGUGGCAGGAUUUGGAGGCACUCAAUUUGGGUAGCGGCACGAGUGAUUUCACCGAGGUGAUCGAACGGCGAGGGGCAGAAAGACGCCGACCUGAGGUCUUGGUUGGUGAUGGCGACGUGAAUUAUGUGGAAAGAUGAGCACUGGCGUGGAGGUCUGCAGAGAUUGCAGAGUUACGUGAUAACACUUCGAUUUGUUUAGUGGGUGAGAGCAAUAAAGCACUGUGAUUACGA